rnacentral:rRNA from 1 species
GGCGAACGCUGGCGGCGUGCCUAAUACAUGCAAGUAGAACGCUGAAGAGAGGAGCUUGCUCUUCUUGGAUGAGUUGCGAACGGGUGAGUAACGCGUAGGUAACCUGCCUUGUAGUGGGGGAUAACUAUUGGAAACGAUAGCUAAUACCGCAUAACAAUGGAUGACACAUGUCAUUUAUUUGAAAGGGGCAAUUGUUCCACUACAAGAUGGACCUGCGUUGUAUUAGCUAGUAGGUGAGGUAAUGGCUCACCUAGGCGACGAUACAUAGCCGACCUGAGAGGGUGAUCGGCCACACUGGGACUGAGACACGGCCCAGACUCCUACGGGAGGCAGCAGUAGGGAAUCUUCGGCAAUGGGGGCAACCCUGACCGAGCAACGCCGCGUGAGUGAAGAAGGUUUUCGGAUCGUAAAGCUCUGUUGUAAGUCAAGAACGGGUGUGAGAGUGGAAAGUUCACACUAUGACGGUAGCUUACCAGAAAGGGACGGCUAACUACGUGCCAGCAGCCGCGGUAAUACGUAGGUCCCGAGCGUUGUCCGGAUUUAUUGGGCGUAAAGCGAGCGCAGGCGGUUUGAUAAGUCUGAAGUUAAAGGCUGUGGCUCAACCAUAGUUCGCUUUGGAAACUGUCAAACUUGAGUGCAGAAGGGGAGAGUGGAAUUCCAUGUGUAGCGGUGAAAUGCGUAGAUAUAUGGAGGAACACCGGUGGCGAAAGCGGCUCUCUGGUCUGUAACUGACGCUGAGGCUCGAAAGCGUGGGGAGCGAACAGGAUUAGAUACCCUGGUAGUCCACGCCGUAAACGAUGAGUGCUAGGUGUUGGAUCCUUUCCGGGAUUCAGUGCCGCAGCUAACGCAUUAAGCACUCCGCCUGGGGAGUACGACCGCAAGGUUGAAACUCAAAGGAAUUGACGGGGGCCCGCACAAGCGGUGGAGCAUGUGGUUUAAUUCGAAGCAACGCGAAGAACCUUACCAGGUCUUGACAUCCCGAUGCUAUUUCUAGAGAUAGAAAGUUACUUCGGUACAUCGGUGACAGGUGGUGCAUGGUUGUCGUCAGCUCGUGUCGUGAGAUGUUGGGUUAAGUCCCGCAACGAGCGCAACCCCUAUUGUUAGUUGCCAUCAUUCAGUUGGGCACUCUAGCGAGACUGCCGGUAAUAAACCGGAGGAAGGUGGGGAUGACGUCAAAUCAUCAUGCCCCUUAUGACCUGGGCUACACACGUGCUACAAUGGUUGGUACAACGAGUUGCGAGUCGGUGACGGCGAGCUAAUCUCUUAAAGCCAAUCUCAGUUCGGAUUGUAGGCUGCAACUCGCCUACAUGAAGUCGGAAUCGCUAGUAAUCGCGGAUCAGCACGCCGCGGUGAAUACGUUCCCGGGCCU